UACAGAGGUGGCAAGCGUUGUUCGGAAUUACUGGGCGUAAAGGGCGCGUAGGCGGUUCGGUAAGUCCUGUGUGAAAUCCCUCGGCUCAACUGAGGAACUGCACGGGAGACUGCCGGGCUUGAGUUCGGGAGAGGGAAGCGGAAUUCCGGGUGUAGCGGUGGAAUGCGUAGAGAUCCGGAAGAACACCGGUGGCGAAGGCGGCCUCUGGGACAGUGCUGACGCUGAGGCGCGA
rnacentral:rRNA from 1 species